rnacentral:rRNA from 1 species
AUACGGAGGGUGCGAGCGUUAAUCGGAAUUACUGGGCGUAAAGCGCGCGUAGGCGGUUUGAUAAGUCGGAUGUGAAAUCCCCGGGCUCAACCUGGGAAUUGCAUUCGAUACUGUCAGGCUAGAGUGUGGUAGAGGGAAGUGGAAUUUCCGGUGUAGCGGUGAAAUGCGUAGAUAUCGGAAGGAACACCAGUGGCGAAGGCGGCUUCCUGGACCAACACUGACACUGGGGUGCGAAAGCGUGGGGAGCAAACAGGAUUAGAUACCCUUGUAGUCC